AGAGUUUGAUCAUGGCUCAGAACGAACGCUGGCGGCGUGCUUAACACAUGCAAGUCGAACGCGAAAUUUUUUCUUCGGAGAAAAGAGUAGAGUGGCGCACGGGUGAGUAACGCGUAAGUAAUCUACCCUGGUAUCUGGGAUAACCCACCGAAAGGUGUGCUAAUACCGGAUACGCUGAUUUAUCAGGAAAGGUGGCCUCUGAUUUAAGCUACCGUACCAGGAGGAGCUUGCGUACCAUUAGCUAGUUGGUAGGGUAAUGGCCUACCAAGGCGACGAUGGUUAGCGGGUCUGAGAGGAUGAUCCGCCACACUGGAACUGGAACACGGACCAGACUCCUACGGGAGGCAGCAGUGAGGAAUAUUGCGCAAUGGGGGCAACCCUGACGCAGCGACGCCGCGUGGAUGAUGAAGGCUUUCGGGUCGUAAAAUCCUGUCAGAUGGAAAGAAAUGCACAUGUAGUAAUAUUAUUUGUGUUUGACGGUACCAUCAAAGGAAGCACCGGCUAACUCCGUGCCAGCAGCCGCGGUAAUACGGAGGGUGCAAGCGUUGUUCGGAAUUACUGGGCGUAAAGCGCGCGUAGGCGGCUUUAUAUGUCAGAUGUGAAAGUCCACGGCUCAACCGUGGAAGUGCAUUUGAAACUGUAAGGCUUGAGUAUUGGGGGGGGUGGUGGAAUUCCCGGUGUAGAGGUGAAAUUCGUAGAUAUCGGGAGGAAUACC
rnacentral:rRNA from 1 species